GGGAGCUUGCUCCUGCUGGAUUAGUGGCGAACGGGUGAGUAACACGUGAGUAACCUGCCCUUGACUCUGGGAUAAGCGUUGGAAACGACGUCUAAUACCGGAUACGAGUUAGGACCGCAUGGUCACUAGCUGGAAAGAACUUUGGUCAAGGAUGGACUCGCGGCCUAUCAGCUAGUUGGUGAGGUAACGGCCCACCAAGGCGACGACGGGUAGCCGGCCUGAGAGGGUGACCGGCCACACUGGGACUGAGACACGGCCCAGACUCCUACGGGAGGCAGCAGUGGGGAAUAUUGCACAAUGGGCGCAAGCCUGAUGCAGCAACGCCGCGUGAGGGACGACGGCCUUCGGGCUGUAAACCUCUUUUAGCAGGGAAGAAGCGAAAGUGACGGUACCUGCAGAAAAAGCACCGGCUAACUACGUGCCAGCAGCCGCGGUAAUACGUAGGGUGCAAGCGUUGUCCGGAAUUAUUGGGCGUAAAGAGCUCGUAGGCGGUUUGUCGCGUCUGCUGUGAAAAUCCGAGGCUCAACCUCGGACCUGCAGUGGGUACGGGCAAACUAGAGUGCCGUAGGGGAGAUUGGAAUUCCUGGUGUAGCGGUGGAAUGCGCAGAUAUCAGGAGGAACACCAAUGGCGAAGGCAGAUCUCUGGGCCGUAACUGACGCUGAGGAGCGAAAGCGUGGGGAGCGAACAGGAUUAGAUACC
rnacentral:rRNA from 1 species